AUGAAUUCUAGAGAGCGACACAGACUAGGUGCUUUGCCUGGACUUCUUUUCCUACAGGGCAUGUGCAAUCAUACAACUGCUGUGAGUCAGCUUGGUGUGUUGGAAGCUUAUACUUUGAGAUGUGCAUUGGUUACCAUGGCAUAGAGUGAGUGAAGGAGCACAAGCAUGAGGGAGCACAGGUCCCUUAACUGCAGAUAGAACAUCAUCUGAGCUGUUUUGUGCAUACGUAAGGGAAGUCUUAAUUCAGCGGUUAGCCAGUACAAGUGGUCAUAAUUUACUAGUGAACUGCAGCAAACGCAACCAGAGCAAAACCAGCUGGAGUGCCAACAGUGGAUGUGUCCUGAGCUUGAUUGACUGCAACAUAAAGUGUUUUCCAAGUUUUGUACUCUGACUGAAGAGAAGAUGAACAUCAGGUUCUUUGCAUGUGAAGUACGGCCAGCGCUUUUAGGUGGUCAAUUGUUUGCUUAAUCCAAAGGCCACUGCUAAGACAGAGUCUUGAGUUUUUCACGCUGUGAGGAAUUUCCAUGUGACCUUGCAACUAAAUUGAUUUUUGAUCUGAGUGGAGUGGUGUGCUGCUGAGGAGACAGAAUGGGACCUGAAGGGGGCAAACACUGAAUCUUUUUGGCUUGACUUUCAGUCAAGGUAACUCACUGGGGUUCCUGAAGGUGAUGCAAGUAAACAUCUGCCAAGUGAAUCUCUGUGUCAAGGCAGCCAUUGUGGGCCAACUG
rnacentral:lncRNA from 1 species